AGCUCAGCCUUUGGCUCUCCCCAUAAGUCCUGGGGGCAGGGAUCCCAGAGCGGCUCUGCUUUCCCACGCAGUCACAGAGCCAAAGCAAACUGAUCCUGUGCCUGGCUGGGCCCAAGGACAUCCCCGAGCCCCUGCGGGCAGUGCAGUGUCUCCUUCGAAGAGUUUUGUGUCUAACUGGGAGAGUUACAGUGGAAAUGCUGGUAUCCCUGCAGUCUUGUUUUGUGCAUAGGUGUUAAUAGAAACAGCUUAAUUAGCAGCUUCAAAGUGGGGCUGAUUAACAGCCCUCUGGUCUCCCAUGCACCCCUCAGGCUGGAGGAAAGCCACCUUCUCCUCUCUUUUUGCAGAAAAACCUCUCUUCACGGAGGUCUGCUCCUAGGGUCAGGCAGGUGACAUUUGAAGACAGUUUGGGGGGUCGGGUGGGGGGGCUGGUGCCCCCAAGCUGUGCUGCACUGGGGUCCCUGGGCCAGACGCUGUGGGAGAGGGCAGGAGGCACCGAUGAAGAUGCAGCUCUCGUCCCCGCACGCAGCAGAGCCAGUGCUGGGGGAUGAAGGGGACCUUCUCCACUCCUCCCGGCUUUGGGGCAUGCUGGAGGGUUCGCAGCCGGAGCCGACAAGACCCAGAUGCUGCCCUUCUUGGUUUUUUUUUUUUUUUUCUUUUCCUUUGGGACUUGAUGGCUUUGGAGGCAGGGGUGGCUUUAGUGGAAGGUGCAGAGAAGUGAUUUGAAGGAGAGGCGGAGGCGGUGGGUGUCUGGAGAGCCCCACUGCAUUCCUCCGGAUGCCGAGCGUGCCUCUUGGAGCAGGCGUGAGGAGAAGCGUGUGCUCCAAUUCAAACUCACUCCCGCUUCCAGCCGCGGGUUAAGACUUUCAUCAGAGCAUUUCCCCGGGAUGAGACCGCAGGGAGGGGAACGGGGCUCCACGCCUCGGGAGCCGCGCGCCCCGCGGCCGAAGGAGCUGCCGGCGGCAGCCGCCGCCUCGCACUGCCCACGGGUGCCAGCAGCACCCACGCGUGCUCUUGAGCAAGCUCUCCCCCUCCCUGCGGCUCCGGGAGUGUCUCCCCUCCCUCUUUCCUCCCUGUGCUCCCCGCCCCGCAGAGGCUCCCUGCCUGCGCUGCCCGAUCCUCUGCCCGAUCCUAUCCCGCCCGCUCCCGGCAGCGAUGGGCUCCGGGCUCCGCCGCUCGCUCCUGCCCACGCUGCUGCUGGUGUUGCUGGUGCUGCUGGUGUUGCUGGUGCUGCUGCCCGCGGCGUGGGGUGACUGUGGGCCGUUGCCAAAUAUAAGACACGCGGAGCCCCCGGAGGACGACAAACAUCGGGGAAGCUUCAGGGUCGGCUCCAAAGUAAGGUACAGCUGCCUCGGAGAUUAUGUGAAACGCCCCUUGCUGUCAGAUACGAUACAGUGCCUUGCAAACUCCCAGUGGUCCAACCUCCCGGAGUUUUGUGGUCGUAGCUGUCCCGGCCCGCCACGUGUGCGUUUCGCUAGAAUAUCACAAGAAGAUGGGAUGCAGAACUUUUAUCCUGUUGGUGUCUGGGUGAAGUAUUAUUGUCGCUCAGGCUAUGAGAAUACCACAGACCGGCUGCCCACCAGCACUUGUUUUGACAAUUUAACAUGGUCAGAAGUCCCCGAGCUGUGUCAGAGGAAAUCUUGUGGUAUUCCAGCAAAUCCAGAACAUGGCAAGGUUAUUACAAAUGAUCAUCUGUUUGGUGCAAAAGCAGAUGUAGUUUGUAACCACGGGUACACAUUAAAGGGAGUGUCACGUGUCAUCUCGUGUUCCCUAAGGGGAGAUGGAGUUGCCUGGAGUCAACUUCCAGCUUGUCAGGCUAUUUCUUGUCCUCCGCCUCCAGCUAUUCCCGACGGGAAGCACGACGGCAACGGUACGGAGUUCACGUACAACUCAGUCGUGCUGUACACGUGUGACCCUGGGCUCCAGCUUGUGGGAAAUGAAACUCUGCGUUGUACAACAGAGAACAGCGUCGAUGGCAUCUGGAGUAGGUCUCCUCCCGAAUGCAGGGUUAGGACUACAGCAGUGACAAACCACACUGAACCCCUGGAAGAGAAUAUAGCAGAGAAUCGUUACUGGCUAGUAGGUAUCCUCAUCCCUAGUUGCAUUGUUGCCGCAAUAGCCCUUGGAAUUCUAACUGGCAUCAUUGUGAAAUGGAAAGACAAUAAAAAACACUCUUAUAAUAUGCAUUUACAAAAGCACGAGAUGAAGGGAAGGGAUCCACCGAUGCACCCAAAGAUAACAGACGACGAGAAGCAGCCCGUGCUGUGGCGUUCCUAUUUUUGCCACGCGACGAGUUGCCACGUGUGUCCCACCUGCGAAGAGCAGCUGCACGCCGCCCUGGCCCCCCGCGCCGAGCCCGCGCGCGGCGGCUGUGCCGUCUGCGAGGACUGGCUGAGCGCCCGGCCCGGCACGCCGCGCACCGACUCGGUCCUCAGCAUUGGCGCCGGGGAGAGCCGAAGCCCGACAGGCACGAGCUCUCCUGCCAAAGCUGCAGAUGUGCUGAGGGCUGACAGCACAGGCGAAGCUGUUCCGGAGCGGAGCGAGGCAGAGCAGCCCAUGGACCACGAAAGCAACCAUCACGUCUGUCCCACCUGUGAAAGCUGGCUGCGCGCCCACCUUGGCCAGUGCGAAAGCCGUCCUGUGGCACCCGGGGAACGGUCGGGGGGGCCCCGCCGGCAGGAUGAGGGCCCGCAGGGUCCCGUCUGCCCUCCCUGCGCCGACCGGCUGCGCCUCUCCCCCGUCCACCGCGACACGGCGAGCUGCCCCGUGUGUCCCCUGGCCAGAGAGGGGACCCCGGCUCACCUCGUCCCCCGCUGCACCCCCAGCUGCCACGUCUGCCCCGUCUGCACGGCGCCCACCCACGCGCACCUGUGCCAGGAUAAAUGGCGACAGCUGUAGCAUCCUUAGCGGCACGAAGGUGGUCGGAGAGAAGGGAGAGUUGCUACACUAACUCCUGAUGUCAGGGAUGAAGCUCUAAGUGCAAUAAGGCAACCUGAAGUCCAGUGUCUGACUUCACAAUCAAGAAUUUCUUUGUGAAGAAGCAGGAGAAUCAAACAUACUUCAAAUCCAGCUGCACGUUGGUUUAAUGCCUACUUUUUCAUUUGUUUUGCAGCGUGCCUGGCCUUUCCUGGGAACUGCGAUGACGGAGGCGAGGCACCACUGCUGGAGCGGAGCCCAUUUCCACCCCAGGCAGUAUCAGUGAGGUGUGCGCUCCUCUCCGGGUGUGACCUUCCCCUUGGCCAACCCCAAGUAUUCUUGGACCGGUCAUAUUCUGUAGCCAAAAAAACCAGACUGCAGCUCCAGCAAGGAGUUCAGAGGAUUAAACUAGCUACUCCCCACUUGGUGUUCGCUGGCUUGUGCUCCUCGUUUUGCUUUGACAUGGGGACAGAAUUAAUAGUCAUAAUACAGAAGCUGUAAAAAUUGCCUUUCUUCUUUAUUGGUGUUUGCCAAGAGAUUGAGUUUAUUGGUGUUCUGGUGGGAGACAGGCAGCGCUACAGGUAGCACAGGCAGGGGCCGUGCAGUUAUCCAAUUCUGCUGUUGUAUUUGUCACCAAACUGGGAUGCAGCACGUUUCUGUGGGCUUGUGCCGACGGGUGCAACCCCGGUGCUGCUUUGAGGAGAGGGGGAGGCAACGGCCAUCUGAGCAUCCGAGCCACCCCGUGCCCUGGCUGCCGUCCCUCACCGUCCCCUUUUGAUCGUCCCUUUGAACCUGGGGCUGGGGGCAGCAGGGGCUGUUCCGGGGGUGCCAAGCAGUCCCCCCAGGCACGCCCCAAGCCUCUACCGAGGUGACGUGGAGGGAGAGGUGUGAUGAAGAGAAGACGUAGGC